AGAGUUUGAUCCUGGCUCAGAACGAACGCUGGCGGCAGGCCUAACACAUGCAAGUCGAACGAUAAGCCACCUUCGGGUGGUGGACAGUGGCAGACGGGUGAGUAACGCGUGGGAACGUGCCUUUCGGUUCGGGAUAACCCAGGGAAACUUGGGCUAAUACCGGAUACGCCCUUCGGGGGAAAGAUUCAUUGCCGAAAGAUCGGCCCGCGUCGGAUUAGCUAGUUGGUGAGGUAAUGGCUCACCAAGGCUCCGAUCGGUAGCUGGUCUGAGAGGAUGACCAGCCACACUGGGACUGAGACACGGCCCAGACUCCUACGGGAGGCAGCAGUGGGGAAUAUUGGACAAUGGGCGCAAGCCUGAUCCAGCCAUGCCGCGUGAGUGAUGAAGGCCUUAGGGUUGUAAAGCUCUUCACCCACGACAAUGAUGACGGUAGUG
rnacentral:rRNA from 1 species